UUGAGCAUUCUCAUCAGUAGUCCUCGUCAUUUAAAUUAACUUAUUCACCCAUUGGGAUGAGGUGGCAAUGGCAUUAGAUCAGUUCUGCUGUUCCAUUUCUCAAGUUAGCAUACAUAUAUGAAUACAGGAUUCUUAAGCAAGAUUGAAGAGAAAUUGUCCUUAACUAGCAAUUUCACUUUUCAUGGUUUGGAUUAACACAUGGGAAAAGAAAAA
rnacentral:misc_RNA from 1 species